GUCCACGCUGUAAACGAUGGGCACUAGGUGUGGGAGGUGUCGACUCCUCCCGUGCCGCCGCUAACGCAUUAAGUGCCCCGCCUGGGGAGUACGGCCGCAAGGCUAAAACUCAAAGGAAUUGACGGGGGCCCGCACAAGCAGCGGAGCAUGUGGUUUAAUUCGACGCAACGCGAAGAACCUUACCUGGGUUUGACAUGUAUGUGACCGCCGUGGAAACACGGCUUUCCUUCGGGACACAUACACAGGUGGUGCAUGGCUGUCGU
rnacentral:rRNA from 1 species